GACGAACGCUGGCGGCGUGCCUAAUACAUGCAAGUUGAGCGCUGAAGGUUGGUACUUGUACCAACUGGAUGAGCAGCGAACGGGUGAGUAACGCGUGGGGAAUCUGCCUUUGAGCGGGGGACAACAUUUGGAAACGAAUGCUAAUACCGCAUAAAAACUUUAAACACAAGUUUUAAGUUUGAAAGAUGCAAUUGCAUCACUCAAAGAUGAUCCCGCGUUGUAUUAGCUAGUUGGUGAGGUAAAGGCUCACCAAGGCGAUGAUACAUAGCCGACCUGAGAGGGUGAUUGGCCACAUUGGGACUGAGACACGGCCCAAACUCCUACGGGAGGCAGCAGUAGGGAAUCUUCGGCAAUGGACGAAAGUCUGACCGAGCAACGCCGCGUGAGUGAAGAAGGUUUUCGGAUCGUAAAACUCUGUUGGUAGAGAAGAACGUUGGUGAGAGUGGAAAGCUCAUCAAGUGACGGUAACUACCCAGAAAGGGACGGCUAACUACGUG
rnacentral:rRNA from 1 species